GAUGAACGCUAGCGGCAGGCCUAACACAUGCAAGUCGAGGGAGAAGCCCUUCGGGGCAGAAACCGGCGCACGGGUGCGUAACGCGUAUGCAACCUACCUUUCACAGGGGGAUAGCCCGAAGAAAUUUGGAUUAAUACCCCAUAAUAUUAUUGGAUGGCAUCAUUUGAUAAUUAAAAUUACGAUGGUGAAAGAUGGGCAUGCGUCCUAUUAGCUAGUUGGAGUGGUAACGGCACCCCAAGGCUACGAUAGGUAGGGGUCCUGAGAGGGAGAUCCCCCACACUGGUACUGAGACAGGGACCAGACUCCUACGGGAGGCAGCAGUGAGGAAUAUUGGUCAAUGGUCGGAAGACUGAACCAGCCAUGCCGCGUGCAGGAAGAAUGCCUUAUGGGUUGUAAACUGCUUUUAUAUGGGAAGAAUAAGGAGUACGUGUACUUUGAUGACGUACCAUAUGAAUAAGCAUCG
rnacentral:rRNA from 1 species